GUAAUUAAUUAACCAACUGAGAUCCAGUUCAGGGGUGAAAGUUCUUCAGGUACGAGGAGGGCAUUGUUGUCAGUCUGGACCGAGCCCGCAGAGCCCCUCCUCGGCGUCCUGGUCCCGGCCGUGCCCGCGGUGUCCCGGGAGGAAGGGGCGGGCCGGGGGUCGGGAGGAGUCACGUGCCCCCUCCCGCCCCAGGUCGUCCUCUCAGCAUGGGGGUCCCGCGGCCUCAGCCCUGGGCGCUGGGGCUCCUGCUCUUUCUCCUUCCUGGGAGCCUGGGCGCAGGUGAGGGCCGCUCCGGGCCAGGGCCCUGCUGCAGGCGGGCGGCGGGAGGCGGCCCCAGGCAGGCAGGGGCGAAGCCAGCGGGACCCGAGUUCCCCGCGAGCCCCUGGCGCUGCCUUCUCCGCUCAAUUAACUUUCUCAACGUCUCCUGCUGGGCCUGAGGCUGGGAACCACCUGUCGCCUCGUGUGUCUGUUUCCCUCUCUCUCUCUGGGUCUCUGUCCCCCUCUCUUUCUGGGUCUCUUGUCUCUCUCUCUCUCUCUCUCUGGGUCUCUGUCCCCCCCCCCCCCGGGUUUCUGUCCCCUCUCUCUGAAUCUGUCCCCCUUCCUCCAUAAUAGAUUCUUCUCCCUCCCUGGGUAUCUGUCCCACUGCAGUCUAGUUCCCCGCCCGUGUGCUCCCUUCAGCUCUGUUUCUGUCUGCAGAAAGCCACCUCUCCCUCCUGUACCACCUUACCGCGGUGUCCUCGCCUGCCCCGGGGACUCCUGCCUUCUGGGUGUCUGGCUGGCUGGGCCCGCAGCAGUACCUGAGCUACAAUAGCCUGCGGGGCGAGGCGGAGCCCUGUGGAGCUUGGGUCUGGGAAAACCAGGUGUCCUGGUAUUGGGAGAAAGAGACCACAGAUCUGAGGAUCAAGGAGAAGCUCUUUCUGGAAGCUUUCAAAGCUUUGGGGGGAAAAGGUGAGACUCCGGUCUGGAGGGGCAAGGGGCCGGGUCCAUGCUCCGGGGCCCCGCUUACCUGUGUUUGGGCGCCCCAGGUCCCUACACUCUGCAGGGCCUGCUGGGCUGUGAACUGGGCCCUGACAACACCUCGGUGCCCACCGCCAAGUUCGCCCUGAACGGCGAGGAGUUCAUGAAUUUCGACCUCAAGCAGGGCACCUGGGGUGGGGACUGGCCCGAGGCCCUGGCUAUCAGUCAGCGGUGGCAGCAGCAGGACAAGGCGGCCAACAAGGAGCUCACCUUCCUGCUAUUCUCCUGCCCGCACCGCCUGCGGGAGCACCUGGAGAGGGGCCGCGGAAACCUGGAGUGGAAGG
rnacentral:sRNA from 1 species